rnacentral:rRNA from 1 species
UUUACAGGCUUAACACAUGCAAGUCGAGGGGCAGCAUGGUCUUAGCUUGCUAAGGCCGAUGGCGACCGGCGCACGGGUGAGUAACACGUAUCCAACCUGCCGUCUACUCUUGGACAGCCUUCUGAAAGGAAGAUUAAUACAAGAUGGCAUCAUGAGUCCGCAUGUUCACAUGAUUAAAGGUAUUCCGGUAGACGAUGGGGAUGCGUUCCAUUAGAUAGUAGGCGGGGUAACGGCCCUCCUAGUCUUCGAUGGAUAGGGGUUCUGAGAGGAAGGUCCCCCACAUUGGAACUGAGACACGGUCCAAACUCCUACGGGAGGCAGCAGUGAGGAAUAUUGGUCAAUGGGCGAGAGCCUGAACCAGCCAAGUAGCGUGAAGGAUGACUGCCCUAUGGGUUGUAAACUUCUUUUAUAAAGGAAUAAAGUCGGGUAUGGAUACCCGUUUGCAUGUACUUUAUGAAUAAGGAUCGGCUAACUCCGUGCCAGCAGCCGCGGUAAUACGGAGGAUCCGAGCGUUAUCCGGAUUUAUUGGGUUUAAAGGGAGCGUAGAUGGAUGUUUAAGUCAGUUGUGAAAGUUUGCGGCUCAACCGUAAAAUUGCAGUUGAUACUGGAUAUCUUGAGUGCAGUUGAGGCAGGCGGAAUUCGUGGUGUAGCGGUGAAAUGCUUAGAUAUCACGAAGAACUCCGAUUGCGAAGGCAGCCUGCUAAGCUGCAACUGACAUUGAGGCUCGAAAGUGUGGGUAUCAAACAGGAUUAGAUACCCUGGUAGUCCACACGGUAAACGAUGAAUACUCGCUGUUUGCGAUAUACUGCAAGCGGCCAAGCGAAAGCGUUAAGUAUUCCACCUGGGGAGUACGCCGGCAACGGUGAAACUCAAAGGAAUUGACGGGGGCCCGCACAAGCGGAGGAACAUGUGGUUUAAUUCGAUGAUACGCGAGGAACCUUACCCGGGCUUAAAUUGCAGAUGAAUUACGGUGAAAGCCGUAAGCCGCAAGGCAUCUGUGAAGGUGCUGCAUGGUUGUCGUCAGCUCGUGCCGUGAGGUGUCGGCUUAAGUGCCAUAACGAGCGCAACCCUUGUUGUCAGUUACUAACAGGUUCCGCUGAGGACUCUGACAAGACUGCCAUCGUAAGAUGUGAGGAAGGUGGGGAUGACGUCAAAUCAGCACGGCCCUUACGUCCGGGGCUACACACGUGUUACAAUGGGGGGUACAGAGGGCCGCUACCACGCGAGUGGAUGCCAAUCCCCAAAACCUCUCUCAGUUCGGACUGGAGUCUGCAACCCGACUCCACGAAGCUGGAUUCGCUAGUAAUCGCGCAUCAGCCACGGCGCGGUGAAUACGUUCCCGGGCCUUGUACACACCGCCCGUCAAGCCAUGGGAGCCGGGGGUACCUGAAGUGCGUAACCGCGAGGAGCGCCCUAGGGUAAAACUGGUGACUGG